UUCACUGUUUCCAUGCAUUCUCUCCCUCUCACCUCACAAUUCAAACGCGAGCACAUACGCUUCUUUCUCUUUCAUCUCCCAAGUUCCACACGAAAUUGGAGCAACAUAGAAUCCUAAUUUUUAAAUCGAAAUCAUCAUCUAACGUCACUGAAUCAGGAUUGUUUGUGCAUGCGAAGAUGAGAAGAAAUGCGGACGAAUCAAUAAAUGAAACAAGAAAGUAUAAGAAGACUUAUCGGAUCGGAAUAGUUGAAUCAAAUUAUUUGUGCAUACGGAGUCAGAGCUCCGACACGGCGGCUUUUUGGAAAUCAGCAGGUCAUGGAAUGGCAAAUGGAUAUGAUCAUGGAUGAGAGCUUGAAGAUCAUAGUGAUAUGGUGAUUAGAAAAAGAUGCACAAAAUGACACACAAGUACCAAGGUUUCCUGAUUAGGGUUUCAUGUGCGCACCUUCUAAUCAAAAUAUUCAAACCAAGCAUGAAGAUCUAUAAACACAUCCCAACACAAGGCCCCCAAAAUUAGCAUUUAGAUACAUAGAUGAAAGCUCAUGAGGUCAAUGAAUAGUAAAUUCAAGAAUUAGGGUUUGAUUGCACAGAUGAAUAUCACGACGUGAUCUCCUUGAACCAAGGUUCCAAAGAUCAAGAAAUUAGGGUUUCCCCCAUAUGAUGAACAAUUCUCCAAUCCUCAAGCAAAACUCUAGGUUUUAUUAACCACACGCUUUGAAUAUCUGGUGCUUAUUAUAAAGUAUUAACAUGAACGAAUGAUGCAUAUAAAUGAGGCAUGAACGGGUGCAUAUGAAUUUCAAGCCAUAAGUUAGAUGAAAAGUGAAAAAGGGAGGGAAAAUUUUGGGGUAUGACACUCGGCAAAAAAGCUAUGUACGAAAUGAUGCAUGGAAUGCAUGUGGGACUGCAGAUGAUUGAUAUAAGUUUGCUUAGUGGAACCUUUCUCCUUGGAGGAAUAGCUAUGCAUGAAAUGAUGCAUGGAAUGCAACUAGGUGAUUGGAAACUUUUAUGUGGAAUUGGUCUCCCUUUUUCAAUGGUGAGAUUUUUGGGUACCAAUGUCAAUUGGAUUUGGAUUAAUGAAAAUGCUAGCAAGGUGGACUUUUAUUUCAGGAGACCAAUGGAGAUUGGUAAGUUAAGUGGGUCUAACUUAUCGACGCUCAUAAUUCGACAAUGCUAUGAUCGGUAAGAAGACAUGGAUGACACUGGUACCUCAAGUUGGAUAUAUUGUUGUCAUGCUGCAUAUGAGCAAGUUCUUGAAAGAACCUAACUGUUGGGUUGAAUGGGCCAUGGCGACCGACAAAUGAUUUCACUGAGCGCAACCAUAAGGCUUCUUUCCAAGAGGAUAUAGGAUGUCGUGCUAGCGUAAUCUCUUUGACGCAUACUUUGAACUCAAUGGUUACUGGUGUCUGGCAUAAUCCGCUUGACCAACUUGAAAGUUAUGGAGGGAACAUGUCCCUUUGCAACUUGUCUUGCCUUAGUCUGUAGGGUACUUGAAGGAAUUUUCCUCGAAAGGAAGCCUUGGGAACAAUUAUAUCCUGACAUCGUCUGAGAUGAUUUUCCCCAGUGUCUGAAUCUUGCAGCAGUCUGCCCCUGAAACAGUUUACCUCGAAUCAACUAAUCCUUAGAAGUAGGGCUUCGUUGUAUUCUUGGGAUGACUUGCCCCGGUCUAACCCUUUGAGGGAUCUGCCCCAACUUGAAUUAAUAUUGAGAUGAUUUUUCUUCCUUGAUCAACUGACCAAUUUUCAGAGAGAAUCUUCUUUGAUCAAUGUAAUCUUUAGGGUGACAUGCCCCUGAUCCAUAGGGUUAUGAGGUAGUCUUGAUUCGGGUCAGCACCAAAGAAAGUUCAAGUUCCUCUCUAAUUGCUCCUUGUUGGGAUUUCCUUGAUGCCAAGUACUUUCUUGCAGUUAAAUUUUUUCAUUUAAAGAUAGUAAUUUUAAUGCGAUAUUCAUGCAAAUUUUGAAAAGUAUAAUUUAUUGGAA